rnacentral:rRNA from 1 species
GAUGAACGCUGGCGGCGUGCCUAAUACAUGCAAGUCGAGCGAACAGACGAGGAGCUUGCUCCUCUGACGUUAGCGGCGGACGGGUGAGUAACACGCGGAUAACCUACCUAUAAGACUGGGAUAACUUCGGGAAACCGGCGCUAAUACCGGAUAAUAUAUUGAACCGCAUGGUUCAAUAGUGAAAGACGGUUUUGCUGUCACUUAUCGAUGGAUCCGCGCCGCAUUAGAUAGUUGGUAAGGUAACGGCUUACCAAGGGGACCAUGCGUAGCCGAGCUGAGAGGGUGAUCGGCCACACUGGAACUGAGACACGGUCCAGACUCCUACGGGAGGCAGCAGUAGGGAAUCUUCCGCAAUGGGCGAAAGCAUGACGGAGCAACGCCGCGUGAGUGAUGAAGGUCUUCGGAUCGUAAAACUCUGUUAUGAGGGAAGAACAAAUGUGUAAGUAACUAUGCACGUCUUGACGGUACCUAAUCAGAAAGCCACGGCUAACUACGUG